AUUGAACGCUGGCGGCAUGCUUUACACAUGCAAGUCGAACGGCAGCGCGGGCUUCGGCCUGGCGGCGAGUGGCGAACGGGUGGGUAAUACAUCGGAACGUGCCCAGUAGUGGGGGAUAGCUCGGCGAAAGCCGGAUUAAUACCGCAUACGACCUGAGGGUGAAAGCGGGGGAUCUUCGGACCUCGCGCUAUUGGAGCGGCCGAUGGCAGAUUAGCUAGUUGGUGGGGUAAAGGCCUACCAAGGCGACGAUCUGUAGCUGGUCUGAGAGGACGACCAGCCACACUGGGACUGAGACACGGCCCAGACUCCUACGGGAGGCAGCAGUGGGGAAUUUUGGACAAUGGGCGAAAGCCUGAUCCAGCAAUGCCGCGUGUGUGAUGAAGGCCUUCGCGUUGUAAAGCACUUUUGGCGGGAACGAAAAGGACUGUGCCAAUACCACGGUUCGAUGACGGUACCCGCAGAAUAAGCACCGGCUAACUACGUG
rnacentral:rRNA from 1 species